rnacentral:rRNA from 1 species
UGAGGAAUAUUGGUCAAUGGGCGUAAGCCUGAACCAGCCAAGUCGCGUGAGGGAUGAAGGUUCUAUGGAUCGUAAACCUCUUUUAUAAGGGAAUAAAGUGCGGGACGUGUCCUGUUUUGUAUGUACCUUAUGAAUAAGGAUCGGCUAACUCCGUGCCAGCAGCCGCGGUAAUACGGAGGAUCCGAGCGUUAUCCGGAUUUAUUGGGUUUAAAGGGAGCGUAGGCGGCCCGACAAGUCAGCGGUAAAAGACUGCAGCUAAACUGUAGCACGCCGUUGAAACUGCCGGGCUAGAGUGCAGACGAGGUUGGCGGAACAGGUGAAGUAGCGGUGAAAUGCAUAGAUAUCACCUGGAACCCCGACAGCGAAGGCAGCUGACCAGGCUGUAACUGACGCUGAUGCUCGAGAGCGUGGGUAGCGAACAGGAUUAGAUACUC